CCUACGGGGGGCAGCAGUGGGGAAUAUUGGACAAUGGGGGGAACCCUGAUCCAGCCAUGCCGCGUGUGUGAAGAAGGCCCUCGGGUUGUAAAGCACUUUCAGUGAGGAAGAACGCCUGGUGGUUAAUACCCAUCAGGAAAGACAUCACUCACAGAAGAAGCACCGGCUAACUCCGUGCCAGCAGCCGCGGUAAUACGGAGGGUGCGAGCGUUAAUCGGAAUUACUGGGCGUAAAGCGCGCGUAGGUGGCUUGAUAAGCCGGUUGUGAAAGCCCCGGGCUCAACCUGGGAACGGCAUCCGGAACUGUCAAGCUAGAGUGCAGGAGAGGAAGGUAGAAUUCCCGGUGUAGCGGUGAAAUGCGUAGAGAUCGGGAGGAAUACCAGUGGCGAAGGCUGCCUUCUGGACUGACACUGACACUGAGGUGCGAAAGCGUGGGUAGCAAACAGGAUUAGAUACCCUAGUAGUC
rnacentral:rRNA from 1 species